rnacentral:rRNA from 1 species
GGAGGGGGCUAGCGUUGUUCGGAAUUACUGGGCGUAAAGCGCGCGUAGGCGGCUUGCCAAGUUGGGGGUGAAAUCCCAGGGCUCAACCCUGGAACUGCCCUCAAAACUGGUUCGCUAGAGUCCGGGAGAGGUGAGUGGAAUUCCCAGUGUAGAGGUGAAAUUCGUAGAUAUUGGGAAGAACACCAGUGGCGAAGGCGGCUCACUGGACCGGUACUGACGCUGAGGCGCGAAAGCGUGGGGAGCAAACAGGAUUAGAUACCCUGGUAGUCCACGCCGUAAACGAUGAGUGCUAGAUGUUGGGGGGCUUGCCCCUUCGGUGUCGCAGCUAACGCGUUAAGCACUCCGCCUGGGGAGUACGGCCGCAAGGUUA